CAGCACCUCAAGUGGUCAGGAUGAUUAUUGGGCCUAAAGCAUCCGUAGCCGGCUCUGUAAGUUUUCGGUUAAAUCUGUAUGCUCAACAUACAGGCUGCCGGGAAUACUGCAGAGCUAGGGAGUGGGAGAGGUAGACGGUACUCGGUAGGAAGGGGUAAAAUCCUUUGAUCUAUUGAUGACCACCUGUGGCGAAGGCGAUCUACCAGAACACGUCCGACGGUGAGGGAUGAAAGCUGGGGGAGCAAACCGGAUUAGAUACCCGAGUAGUCC
rnacentral:rRNA from 1 species